rnacentral:tRNA from 1 species
CCUUUCUCAGUCUUCAAAACCAUGGCGGCCUUGAAGCUC